CACAAACGAUUCGCUGACUCAAAUAAAACGUUAACCGAAAUAUUUCUUUUCAUACAAAAUCCUAGUUACCAUUGAAUUUAUUCACAUUCCAAUAAAAUAUAUAACGUGUGUGCAACUCUAAUAAUCUAAAUACAAGCCCUUGUCAUCAUAAUUUGAGCGUGCUGACUAAAUUCCAUGUACGCACAUCGGAUCAUUUUAAAUUUGUGCAAUGAUAUGAGUCAAUAUUCCUUCCAAAACAUGAUAACUUAUGUGAGAGUAUUAAACAUCAUUAGAAAAAAGCUCUUCCGCAUUGAACUUGUUCCAAGCUUCCUGUUUUAAGAUCACAAGAAUAAAUUAUUUACAAAAUUAUUAUACUUCAGUGAACAAAUGUGGGUAAAAUACUGUUAGAUUAGAUAUGUUAAGGUUUUCAUCCUUGCUUUUGGGAAUUACAAAUAAUUUUAGCAAAGAAGACUAAUUAUGUUUAUUAAUCUGUGAGUUUUACAAUAAAUGACACGUAAAAGGAAUGAGGAAGUAUCCAACACUCUUGAAAAGUAGCAAGGAAGAUUAUAUGUACAUAUUAUUAUAUUAAUGAUGAUGAAAAAUGUAAAUCAAGCAAGCUAGCAGUAGUUCAAUAGAGAGCCCGUUAUGAUUCAGACUUAUUGGAGCUUAUUAGAGUUUAUCUACUAUGAAAAAAACUAGAUAAACUCAAAUAAAUACUCUUUGAUUGGCAUCUAAACCGUUUCAGAGAUUUCUAUGAGAAGGGGUAAAACUAAAAGUAUCGUGUAAGAAAGGGUACUACAAAAAAAGGCAUAAAUGUAUAAUGAGGCGUUUCCUUGAGCGCUGCAGUUACGAGCGCCGGGGGUCGUUUUGCGGCGCCUAUAUCCAAGCGUUGGAAUAACCGCCGCAGAAUAUAGCGGCGAAAAAAAAGCGCCGCAACUACAAUGAUUUUAAAAAUAUUUCUAUUUAAUUACAUUGAAUUGCUGAAAAAAGUUUUUAAUUUUUUAAAAAAAGUCAAAUUAUAUAUUCAAUCAAUAAAUAAAAUGAACCUUAUAAUCUUUAUAAAAUGAUCUCUUUAAAUAAAAUGAAACUUAUAAUCUCUAUAAAAUGAUCUCUUUAGGCUUAAAUGCACUUUUGGACCCCCAAGUUUAUAUUUUUUGCGAUUGUUGACCCUGAUCUUAUUUUUCUACGAAUGGAGACCCUAAUCUUUCAAAAUGUUGCACCGUUUACCCUUCCGUCUAAAUUCGUCAAAAACUUGACGGAACCCACUUACCUGGCCUUCCGACGGAAGGGUAAACGGUGCAACGUUUUGAAAGAUUAGGGUCUCCAUUCAAACUAAAAAUAAGAUCAGGGUCAACAAUCACAAAAAAAUGUAAACUUGAGGGUCCAAAAGUGCAUUUAAGCCAUUUUUUUAAAUCCCCCUUUUAGCCACGUGGAAGUCCAUAUCAGCGUGUUCCGUCAAGUUUUUGACGGAAGGGUAAACAGUGCAGCGUUUUGAAAGAAUAGAGUUCCCAUUCGUACAAAAAAAAGACAAAGGUUGAUAAUCGCAAAAAGUUAAAACAUGAGGGUCCAAAAGUGCAUUUAAGCCUUUUUUUUUAUAGAUAAGUCAUGAUUGUAUUGAAAAGAAGUGCAAGAGGUACUUUUACCCAAUACAAUGAGAGAAACAAGAAAAAACAAACAAACCAAAAGGAAAAGAAAAUAAAAAACGCAGACACAGCUGCACCAAAUACCAGGAAAAAACAAUCCAACGGUGCUCGCCCAGAAACACCAGCACAUUUCCCACUCCUAGACUAUUCCCAAACCAAAUAAACCAAAAACCUGUGGUUGCCAGACCCACCCAUCCACCAGAAUUGUAAAACCAACUUGGCUUGACCCAAGAACCAAAUAACAAUCACAAUCGAACAAACUAGAAUUGUAUUGGGAUCAAGGUUCUAAAUAGCGGUCGCGGUCGCGUUGCGGAUUUCGCGAUAACGAAUAUUGCGGAUGCUGCGAUAUGUGUUGCGUCUGUUGCGGUGUGAAUGGUUCACAAAUUUUCACAAAUUAUGUUUAAAAUGCAUAAAUUAUGUGAAAAAAAUAUAUUAUUUAUAACCUAUAUUAUAGAUCAUGAUAAUAACUUAAUAAAAUAUACAAAAACUCAUAACAUAUAUUUAGGGAGAUAAGAAAAUCAAAAGAUGAUAACAAAAAAAAUAAUAAACCAUGACCCCACUUCAGUUUUUUUAUAAGCAACAAAUCUAUUAAAUGGCACAAGGGUGCCAACCCAAUACAAAUAUAGCUCACGCUACAGCGAGUUCAAAAAAAAAAACCACGCUACAGCAAAGGAAAUAAGAGAAAGUGCAGUAGUACAAGAUAGAAAUAGAGAAAACGAGAAGGGCAAGGGCAUAUAGGGGAAAACAGAGGAAAAUCAAAGUUAUAGAUAAGUGGCCCCACUUUAGUGACUCACUAAAUCAAAGUCUCUCUGCACUCUCAACAAGUCAAUAACGACAGAAAAUUAAGUCUGAAGAGAAAAAAUCAAGUCUUUCUCCUCUCCUCAGUCCUCACAUUCCAGGUCCGAUUCUUUCUUUCCUCUUCUUCUCUCUCAAAAAAAUCAACAAAAAGUCACAGAUCUAGUGACAAAACAACAGAUCUGAAAAGAUUGAAGGGUGGAUUAUUGUUACUAGUUCACCCCAAGGCCAGAGAUGACGGAGAAGAGACUGAAGAUUGGAGCGGACGCCGGUGGUUUUGCGCGGCUGCGUCUGUCGGUCGGAGCACUAACUUGUCUCAGUUCUCACCGUUAGAGAUCUAGAGGAAGAGAAGGCAGAAAGAAGAUGCUUCAGAAAAGGGGUUUUUGGGCAACAACAAAAAAGAUGUCACGGUGAAUCCAACCAGCACAACAAGCUGCAAACGUUUUUAACACACCAAAUCUGCACAUUUUGUUAGAAGUCUCACAUUGGCUAGAGAUAGAGCAUAGAUAGCUUUUAUAAGGGUAGUGCAAACAUUAACUCUUGAGUUAGCUUUUGUGGUUGAGUAUUAGCCUCCCAAUUUCUAAUAUGGUAUCAGAGCAUAUCCUACAUCCAUUUGUUGUUUGUUGUGGAGACCUCUCAUAAUUGGGGCACUCGUUGUUGUUGAUCCCACGUUCCAGGUUCAGUCCUAGACGUGAGGGGGGUGUUAAAAGUCCCACAUUGGCUAGAGAUAGAGCAUAGAUAGCAUUUAUAAGGGUAGUGUAAACCUUAACUCUUGAGCUAGCUUUUGGGUUGAGUAUAGGCCUCCCAAUUUCUAAUACCUUUUUCAACGACUACAAACAUAGCAAGGGAGAAGUGGACCACUCAAACAGUGAAUUUGAAAAUCCUGCAACAUUGGAUUUAAUCCAAACAUAAGAAGCCAUUUGACAAGCUCCAAGACCUCAGGUACUUCAGCUGCUACUUGAUCCCGAAAGGCACAGUUGUUACGCACAAGCCACAAGGACCACACGACGGCUAACCAAACUGUGGAAGCACCAUCCUGUUGUUGUUUGUUCCAUCCAAAUCUGAAUUGGACAAAAUGUUCCUUUGCCUCAACCGACAACACAGUAAGUGUACCAAGCCAAUGAUAGCAAUUAGCCCAAACUUUCCACGCAAAUGCACAAGAAAAGAAUAAGUGUAAACUGGAUUCUUCCGCUUGUCCAGAUAAACUACAAAUCAGUUCAGCUUGGGAAUGUAGAAUAUUGCGCCACCACAGAUUAAGCUUGGUAGGCACUCGGUCCAAAAGCAAACUCCACCCGAAAGACUUCACAUUUGAGGGCGCAUUACACCUCCAAAGUCGCGUGAACACCGGAUCAGGCGACAACCCAACAGGGACCUGCAAGAAACAAUAAAACGAUUUAACAGAAAACACCCCCUUUGGCACGACAACCACGCCCACUUGUCAGGAACUCCAUGAACUAAUUGAACUGUACUGAUUUCAUCCAUCAAGGAUUGAACCCAAGUAAGCUCCCUCCCCACCAAAGGCCUUCUCCACCAAAACCUCCACUCCCAGACCCCAUGGUUCCACUGCCCACAACUGUUAACCAUCGCAUACUUCAAUCGGGACAAAUUAUAGAGCCAAGGGUAACUAUUACAGAGGACUCCAGCCCCUGACCAGUUUUCAUGCCAAAAUUAAGUUGCAUCUCCUUCUCUGACUCUUUUGUUUAACCCAAGGUCAAACCAGUCACCCGACUCAUCACACCUAGAAUUCUUCACAUCAUGCCACCAAGAGGAUUCACAAGAAGGUUUGUUGCCCAUAUAUUUGGCCUUAAUAACCCGACACCACAAACUAUUUGGCUCGGUGAGAAUCUGUCAUCUCCACUUACCAAGGAGAACCUUAUUAAAUACUGAGAGAUCUUUAACCCCCAAACCCCCAGCCUCCUUAGGCAUACAAACGUCAGACCAACUCACCCAGGCUACCCUUCUCGUCUCACCACAACCACCCCAUAAAAAUCCCUCAUAAUGCCCGUACAGAUCUUCACCACAGUAGCCGGCAUCCUGAAGAACGACAUGUAAAAUAAAGGGAGGGCCGAAAGCACAGACAAAUUCUUCCCCCAAAAGACACUGAUUUCAUUUUCCACGCAGCUAAUCUUGUCUUAAGCUUUUGAAUAACUGGAUCCCAAGUUCUCUUAAGACGUGGUCGACCCCCCACUGGGCAGAUAGACAAAAGGAAUAAUCAUCUCCCUACAAUGCAGGAGAGCUGCAAACCUGCUAGUCACUUCUGCCUCCACAGCAAUAGAAGCCAAUUUACUUUUAUGAAAAUUAACCUUCAACCCUGAAAUAAGCUCAAAGCACCGCAAAACACACUUUAUAACUACGACAUUCUGCAAAGAAGCCUCGCCCAUAAAGAUCGUAUCAUCAACAAAUUGGAGCAUAGACACUUCCUCCACCACCUCCUUGCCCACUCUGACCCCUUUAAAUUUUCCCAACGUCACAACAUUCAUAAAUAACCCAUUCAGUACUUGUGCCACUAUCAAAAAUAGGAAAGGAGCAAGAGGAUCUCCUUGCCUAAGACCCUUCUCCAUCUUGAACUCGCCACUGGGACUACCAUUCACCAAAACCGACACAUAUGUCGACUCCAAGCACCCCCUCACUCAAUUAAUCCACCUCUCAUCAAAAUUCAUACGCCUCAUCAUAUAGAACAGAAAGCCCACUGGACAGAAUCAUAAGCCUUCUAAUAAUCAACUUUAAAAAUAAUGACUGGCUUCUUGCGAGUUUUAGCUUCAUAAACCACUUCAUUAGUAACCACCACGCUGUCCAACAUGCAUCUCCCACCGAGAAAAGCUGAUUUCCUGGAAUCAAUAAGCUUACCAAGAACAAGUUUCAAACGACUAGCCAGUAACUUUGAAACCACCUUAAAAAUACACCCUAUCAGUAAGAUUGGCCUGAAUUCAUUCAAACUCUGCGGAGACUUGACUUUAGGGACUAGAGCAAUAAAUGAUGCAUUACAACCCCUGGGCCAAACACCCUUUCCCCAGAAACCCAUGACAACUCUAAUAAAAUCCUCCUUCAGCACCUCCCAAAACCUCUGAAUAAAGGGGAAAUUAAAACCAUCUGGUCCCGGACUCUUAUCUCCACCACAUCCCAAACCGCCUCUUUAAUCUCAUCAUCCUCUAAGGACGCCAACAACCCAGCAUUAUCAGCAGGCGACAACUAAAUGUGAACACCUUCCAAGCUUGGCCUGUUCAAGAAUCAGAUCUGAAUUUGUUUUCAGAGAAACGACUAACCUCAUCUUUUAUAGCGUAUGGCCUCUCCUCCCACACCCCAUCAAUCCAAAGCCCAACUAUGGAGUUUGCACGCCUCUUCCAAUUUAUCGUCGAGUGAAAGAAGCUAGUAUUCUGAUCUCCCUCCGCCAUCCACUUAGAUCUUGCUUUCUGACAUAGAAGUGAUUCAGGGUAUUUCAGAACCGACCUCCUCCUCUGGGUUGCCUCCUCCUCAUCAGUAAGUCCCAUUUCCUCCUCCUUAACAUCCAGCUCAUUCAAUUUGCUAACUGCCACCUCCCUCCUGCUUCUCAAAUCACCAAAAUUGUCCUUGUUCCGUUUCCAGAGAUCCCCCUUAAGUCCCUUUAGUUUUUCUUUAAGCACAUAGAUCCCUGUACCAGUCACAUGCAUACCUUUCCAAGACGCCUCUACAAAAGCUGCUAGCCUAGAGUCCUGAAGCCAACAAUUAAGGGUCCUGAAAGGCUUUGGACCUCAAUUCUGAAACGCCAGGCGCAAUAACAGAGCACUAUGAUCAUAAAUAUCUCUGUCUAGCACUAGCUGGGAGAAAUCUGGCCAUAUACUAGUCCACUCUGCUGAGGUUACAAAUCUAUCCAACCGACUCUGUGCCUGAUUGUUCGGUCGACGCCAAGUGAACUUCCGACCUGCAAGAGGAAUGUCAAAGAGCUCCAUUGCCGCAAUAAAAUCAUUAAAGUCCUGCAUGUCACGUCUCUGAGUGGCCAGCUCCCUGGAACGCCCCCUCCUCUCCUCCAUAGCUCUGACAACAUUAAAAUCACCUACAAGGCACCAAGCCUCUAUCUGACAAUUCUGCUUCCAAACCAGCAACGCCUCCCACAAGACACGACGAUCCGCUGAAUUGCACGGUGCAUAAAUAUUAACAAUUACACACCGAUGCUGAGAAGAACCCCAACACCCAAUCAAACCCAAAUAACAUGGCCCUUCUACACAGCUUUCAAGAACAAACAAGUCCUUCUUCCAAAUACAGAGCAAACCACCCCCUACUCACCGCCGGGAUACACUUCCAUUCAAAGUCACUGUCACCCCAAAUCUGACUACACAUCCUCCUCUCAAUACGCUGACUCUUUGUUUCUUACACGCACAACAAUUUGACAUGGUUUUUAUAGAUAAUCUCCCUAAUCACCCACCUCUUGGCUGAGUUCCCCACCCCCCGGACAUUCAAAGAAAGAAUCUUCAUUGACAACUCGUCUGACCCAUAACAUGAGGCUGGCCACGCAAAGCCUCACCCUCAGCAGCAUCCCUUUGUUCAAAAGUUGCAAGCCUACUGAUAAUCUCAUCAUCAUUGCCAGAAGAAGUAACACCAAUUUCUUUCCCCAAAGUCCAAAUUGCUUUGGCCUCAGAAGAGGCACUUCCCAUACAGUGAGCUUUAAAACUAUUAUGAAUAACAGAAUCAGAAUGGAAGAGCAAGCAGAAUAACAGCGGCGUCGAAUGUACUUACGUAAUUCAGAAGCGUUUUGACCACUCUGCUCCGCUGCCUUGCGAUCAUAUGCACCUCCCUCAGACACCGUCGCACCCACCCUCCUCAGUAGAACCUCAAACCGGUUUUGGGUCUAGACCGACGACCCCCGUCCGCCACCUGGAUGUUGACGCGCAGCAAGGCCACCACCUGUGUGUAGUCGUACAUCAGCGGCGUCCACCGCCUCAUAUUUCUUGUCCGCAAGUUGCGGUUUUGGCAUCUUCCUUCGUGGGUCGUUGGUCGUUGUUACAGCCAAGGGGUUGGGGAUCUACUCCAGACCCGUUUUCUUUUGGCAAGUCUCUGGGUCGGGUAUUGAGAACCGGCCCAAGACCAGUUUCUGAUGCUUCCUCUAUUGGCUCAAUGUCUCCAAGGACAAGAACGUCCUUUUCUCCCACCUAGAUCCCCUCUUUAUUUUUUACUAAACUAUCCCCCACGUGUGCUUUUAAACUUGUUUCCACCGGGUCCACCAAUUUAUCCACAUGUGAAUCAUUGCAAUCAUUACCAUGAUCAUUUGUAAUUCCAUUUUGCACCGUUUCCACCGAAAUCUCAGCCGCUAAGGUGUCACCAGUGCCAUUAAUUAACGCACCCAUGAUUGGUGCCUUAAUUUUCUCCCCCACAAUAACUUUUCCAUUCAAAAAUUGCAAGUUGUUACUUUCCCCCACCGAUCCGCCGUCAUCGCCGCCAUUCUGAUCAUUAGGCUCCUUUCCAUCGUCGACUGGGGCGCUCUUAUCCAACGACUGAGUAGGAGAAACGCUGUCAUCGUAGUCACCUACAUCCUCACCGCGUCUCCACCUAAAGCAUUCGACAGCCAUCCUUGAGAAGAGCCAUCAAAUGACCAUCUUGAGUCUUCAUCCUCAUCAUCUGUUGCCUGCUUACAACGACAAGAGUCAUUCGCCACUCCACCUUCUUCUUAAACAAUCCUUAUACAAUAAUCCACACCCGCCACACACACCUUUCGAAAAAGUGAUAUCAGACCCUGCGAGUUUAUUCGGAUUAACAAUCUUGCAAACUCCAAGUUGGAGAAGGAUGUCGUGUUAGAAUCAAUGGAGACCAGCACACCGAUCGAACGAACUAAUUCAUCAAAACAGUUCGUGCACAUGAAAGGCCGGGUAAAUCCAAUGAACCCGCCCAAUACAAUCGGAUCCAAUGGAAAAAAUGCGAGUUGGAUUGGACUAACGAAUCUAUUGGAUGAAUUUUAUUACGAUCCAAUCAUCUUCAGAUCGGAUAUCGGUUCAAAUAAAAAUCCACCCAACCCAACCCGAAAUCCAAACAUAUAACUAUACUACAUUAUUUAAUAUAUAUAUUUAAUAAUUUUACUUAAUCCACAUGCAAAAUUCGAAACUUUAAUAGUUUUAUUUCACAUCUUUACUUUUCACUUUCUUAAUUACUAUUUCUUCAGUUACGAUCUUCCUUCUACUCCAAGCCCAACAACGACUCCUCACUCCUAAUUUUGUACUUAAUUUUAUGGUAUUUGGUUAUUUGUCAUUUAUGUCGUACUAUUGAUUCCAUUUAGUACAAGUUUAUAAAAAAAAAUUCAAUUUUUUAAUACUUUUUCAAUAUUCUAGACUUAUUAUUAUUUUAAUAUAGCGAUCUGAUCAACUCGUCCCAACCAACCCGAACAUCAUCGGGUUGGGUUGGUUCGGGUCUAAGGGCGAAAAUUCAAAAAAUCCAAUCCAACCCAACCCAACCCAACCCAAACUGUUUUAAUCGGUUCGGAUCCUGAUUAGGCUAAAAAUCCAACCCAACCCAUGUGCAGCUCUAAUCCUCAUCAUCUGUUGCCUGCUCUACACCUGUACAACGACAGGAGCCAUUCGCCACCCCACCUUCUUCUUCAACAAUCCUUAUACAGUAAUCCACACCCGCCACACGCACCUUUUGAAAAAGUGAUAUCAGACCCUGCGAGUCUGUUCAGAUUAACAAUCUUGCAAACUCCAAGUUGGAGAAGGAUGUCAUGUUAGAAUCAAUGGAGACCAACACACCGAUCGAACGAACUAAUUCAUCAAAACAGUCCUUUGUCCACAUGUGCAAAGGAAAACCAAAGCACCGCACCCAAGAUACUCUAUGAUCAGUAAUCACUGACGGAGACCAAGGGAUCACAACAUCAAACACGUCCUCUGACUCAAAGAGUGCCGCUUCUAGGUUGAAUCCCUCAGGACCAUUUAAUAGGACCUUGUCAUCACCAAGAUAACGAACCUGAAUAUGAUUAAAACCAGAUAACAUGGUCGCGUCCUGUAGUAAAGGAACUACAUCAAGGUUCUUCAAAACUCCCACCUCACUUCUCUUAAGCCAUUCAUCCCCUUCCAUAAUAACUGGGCCAUGCCACUCCUCCGGUGCACUCAACUCCUGCCUCAAUCGCUCAACCUGAUUAUUUCCCUGAGGACUUGCAUCAGAGGAAACCACCUGGGCAUAUGAUUUCGUUGUCCUUUCGCUGGCCUUUCGUGUUACACUUGGUACCUUUCCAUCCCUAUCACUCUUGCUACUAGCCACCCUUCUCACCUCAUCCUCCACAGGUCGCUUGCCAAACCUGGGGAAGUUUACAUGCAUUUUCAUACUACCGAUCAGAAUGGUGUUCAGUUCUUGCUCCAGUCUCCUUGGAUUUUUGAUAUUAGCAAACCUGACAAACCUAAAUCUUCUCCCCAACUUGUCUCUCCUCUAUGAUACAAAUACAUCCCACACCCUGUCAUACCUUUGGAAAACUUGCCAUAGUUCCUUCACUCCCCAGUGAUCAGGGAAGUUAGAGAAGAAAAAAUGCGUGAUAUCUGCUACUUUGGGUGGAGUAACCUUGUUCUUGAAUCCUACUCGUCCCUUCUCUCCCACCUGCCUCCAUUCUCCAUCCCUCUCUCUCUCUCUCUACCUUUCUCUCUCAUAGUUUUUUUCCGAGAACGAAUGAAAAACGGUGGUGGUGGUGGCACCGACAACGGUGGCGACGAUGAUGAUGGAUGCGGUGGCAGUGGCGUUCGUGGUGACGGUUGUGGCAGCGACGAUAGGCGGUAGCAGCAGUAGCUACAGGUGGUAGAGGCGAUGAUAGCAAAAAUGAAACCAAGAAAAUAAAAAACAUGUCCUUACUAACUUAAAAAAAUUUGAAAUCGAUAACUAAUUUUAAAAAAUAAAAGGCUUAAUUCCUCUUUUCGUCCCUGAUGUUUCACGAUUGUGCAAUUUUGGUCCUCUUAUUUUAAAACGAGCAAUUUUAAUCCCCAACGUUUGUGUCGUGAGCAAUUUUAGUCCAACCAUUAAUUUGAUAACGGCAGAGGCUGACCUAGCUUCCAUUAAUUGAGCUGGCAUUGUUAAUAUAUUUCCAAGUUUCUUCAGAAAAACUAAUAAUAAUACCUAGAUAAAAAUCGAAAGAUUCCAAACCCUUGAAUCAGGAGAAAAAUCAUAGUCAUUUUCAUCAAUUUGUGCAUUCUUUUGUUUAAGCAAUUGGAUUUUAGUCUUUUUCAUCAACCCAAAAUAAAAUAUUGUUGUUUGUGACAUAAUUUCUCUGUUUGAUAUGCAUAUUGAACAAAAUUCUUACAAGAAUUAUAAACUCAAACGACGUGCAGUAGCUGCCUUGAUAAUCGUGGAACUCAUUACUACAAGUCUUGUACCAUUCAAGGUGCUAUUGAUUUUAUCUUUGGUGAUGACUGGUCAUUAUACAAGGUAGUAAUGUUAUGUUCCUUUGUUUCUCCUUUUCUUUCCAUGACAUGAUAAAGAAGACAAUGUGGGGUGUGUGUUUAUAUACAAAAGAAAAAUAUCGAUAGAAUAAAAGGUCUUGAGGACAUGUCUUAGGGAUGCAAAUUACAUAUUUUUAGGGCAUCUCAAUCCAAAAUGCAUGAAAAUAAUGCAUGCACACAUCACAUUAAGGUAUUGAUCAUGAGUUUGAAUAUAAAAAACAUAAUAAAUGUGAUAUAUGAUGUGAUAAGUGAGAGAUAGAGAGAAAAAUUAAAUAUGUACGUAUAUUGUUCGAUAUCUACAUAUCAUAACUGUGUGAGUAUACAACUUAGGUAGGUUAUUUACCAACUUAAAAUAUAAAUACUUGGGCUUUACUUUUGGUGCUUGUUGUGGUACCUUAAGCUAGAUCGAGGCGUGAUACCUAACAUGAUAUAGACUAAUACAAACAUACAAUUUAAAUUUAGAGGAAGAGGAUGGAGGAAGAUUUGGAGGUUUAAAUGAUCUCUCAUAAUUGCAAAUUGAACUAAAAACCCUAAUUUUUGAAUUAUGCAUUAUAUAACAUAAACAAACUUAAAAAGUCAAUGUUAUUAAUUCAUUAAGUCGAUCAUUAAACUUUUAAGAAUUUCAAUAAUAAAUCAUUUCGCCUUUUUUCAACAAAAUUAUAACUUAAAAUAUCAUUGGGUAUCACACCCAUAAAAAAUUCUGGAUACCACAUAAUUCACCUUUACUUUUUACCCUUACAGUUACAUUAUGCAAUGAUUGAUGGGAAGCAUAUAUUUUUUAGGAAUUUGUCGUGUCCAUACAAGAACGCUAGUCUCGUGCUACUCUUCAUAGUUUACUAUUAGGAUAUGAUUUUGAUUAAACUUGUGCGAAUCAUUGUUCAAAAAAGAAAAAGUAAAAAAAUUGAAUGUUUGUUUGUGAUCUCCAUAUAUUGGCAGACUUGAAACUGAAAAGAAAUUAAAUGGAGAAGUUAUUCUGUAUUUUAUUUUAAAGCCAAAAUCAAUUCAAUGGAGAAGUUAUUCUGAGUCAGGAUUGUACCAUAUCUGUUAUUGCGGCACCUCUAGUUCCAGGAAUUUCUGGUAUUAUCACAGCACAAGGGAGGGUAAGUCCCUACCAAUCAAGUGGAUUUGUUUUUAAGAAUUGUGUUAUCGAUGGAACUGGCACAACUUAUCAUAAUAUAUUUUAGGCUUAAUACAUCAGAAGGCCCCUGUAAUUGUAAAGGGAAUCAAAUCCAGGGCCUGAAAAAAUUUUGUAUCAAAUUGGGUCCUUAGAAUUUUUUUUUUUAAUUCAAUUAAGGCCAAAGUGUGCCAGCCUUCAAUUUUAUCCCAGUCAUCAAUUCCACGUGGCUUUUAUAAUUUUUUUAAAUUAAAAAAAUUUAAAAAAAUUUAUUUUUAAUUCCAACUCAAUUAUUUAAUCAGAAAAAAAAAUUAAAAACUUAAUAAAAAACCUAAUCUAAUAAUCCUUAACUAAACAAUCUAAUAAUCUAACUAAUAAACUAAUAUAAUAAUAUAAUCUAAUCUAAUAAUCCUUAUAACCAAUCCCUAAUUAAAAUAUUUUCACCCCCAAAUUGAACCAAAUCUCAAAUCUUCCCCCAAAUUGAACCCUAAUUAGAUUAUGUUAGAUAGCAGAGAUCCACUGACUACCACCACUGCCACCACCGUAUCCACCUUCACACUGAUCACCACCACCAUCUUAUCCUCCUCCGUCCCAGCCCUUCUUUCCUAGCCAUUUAAACCAGCCAUAGUAGAGAUCCAACCUCUUUUCCACACCGGCGACCUCAAGACACUCUGGUGAUGAUGCAGAUCAGGGAGCAUAUGCCAAAGCCAUCUGGUACUGAAACCCCUCCUCUUGUCACCGUCGAUUUUCACCAUGACCCCUCGUGAAGAUCGAAGCUUGGUCGCCGCUGAGAAAGACGAAAAACCCAGUAACAGAAAUCACCCAGAAAUGCAAAAAAGAUGAGAUCUUUGGUGUUUGUUGAUGGAUCCAUCGCGCCAUGUUCGUCAAUCUCCUCCCCUUCCUGCGAUCUCGCUCCCAGGCGCAAAGGGAAGAAAAUAAUUAGGAGAAGGAGGAGGCGAAAGGUGGAAGGUUUUAAACGGAUCGGUCCCGGCGCUGAUAAACAGAGCAUGGGAGAGGGAGGAACAUGGUGUAGAGGAUCGGAUUCCAUGUGGGAUCCAUCUUUGGUUUCAACCAACAGAAGUCGCGUCUUUAACAGAAUCUCGCUUCCCCUCUCAUCUUCUGCGCCAUCCACCUUGGCUUGAACCGGAAACACGCCAUGAACUGAACUUCUGUUAACCUCUCAAACGAAACUACGUGCCUCAGCCUGCUAUCUUCCUUCUCCAUCUCCGCUCCAAGAAACACGCCGCCGCACGUUGCUCCUGCUCCUCCUCUGCUUCUGCUUCUGCUUUUAGGGUAUACCCAAGUGAUACUCACGUGCUUCCCUCUCUCCUCAUACCUCAUUUUUCUCUCCAACUAGACGUCUACGUAAGUCUCCUCCAUUAAGAAAUAAACGGUAGGACUAACGUUGCACACGACCUACAACGUCGGGGACCAUCCAUGUAAUUAAAUUAGGCGGGGGACCAAAAUCGUGGCAUUGGUAAACGUCGGGGACCAAAGUUGCAAUUAAGCCUUUCUAUUUCUUUCAAAACUAGAAAACGCAUAAAACCAAUUUAAAUUCCUUCAGAUAUACAAGUAUGCGAAUAUUUUAGCUUUCAUUUUUUAUAUUUUUAUCAUUUUGUUUUAUUUGCUUACUUGGGUAUUCAGAUUUUGAUCUAUAUGAAUAAUUUUAAUUUUACAGGGGUCACCCAAUAUUCGCAAAGUAUAACAAUUUUGGACCAGGUUCUAGCUCUUCCCAGCGAAUCAAAUGGACUGGGAAAUUGGGUUUAUCAACAAUUAAUUGGAUGAUAAGUUUUAGCUUCAUUGACAGCAAUGGUUGGCUUAAGACCAGCCUAAGAAUCGGUUCUUGAAGUGUAUUAGAAAAACAUAGGGUUAAAUAAAUUUGGGGUCCCUGAACUAUAGCGAAAAAUUGGAGAAAACCCUUCCAAUGGCAGUCACGACCAAUACCUAGGGUGGCUCCACAACUAGCCUAUUAUAUGUACAAUGUUUCAUAUUGUUUGAAAAUUAUUUUUAAACACAAUUACAAUAUUGAGCUACAUGAAAUAUUUGUUAUGGAAAAAGCCUUGUUAUUAGUUUUAAUGAUGACAGAAGGCAAAGUUAUAAAAGCUAACAAUAUAAUGUCACUCAAAAUCUUAAUCGAUAAUAGGUACGAAAUAUCACAUGUCAUAUAGAUGAAGAUACAAGCUACAAUAUCUAUCAUACAAAGCAACCAUAAGCACUCAAAGUCAUAUAAAGGAUUUAUUCUGUGACGAUGAGCUAAGUUCAUUCACAUAAGACUAUCAAGCCUAUAUGAAAGAUUAUUUAUUGAAGAAAAUAAUGGAAUAAAAGAAUCCUUAAAAUCAUAUCAUCUACAAGGUUCAAGUCAAGAAGAUCAUCUAAAGUAAAGAUAGAUCUAGGUUCUCAAAUUCGAUAUCAGAAGAUUGAAAAGGUCUCAUUGGUUGUGCUGAUAACAGCAAGGCUUCUACAACCUUACUUGCAAAGCUUUCACGUUCUAGUUAAAACAAAUGUCCCUCUUAGGCAAAGGUUUUGUGGGCUGAAGAAUUACCAAGAGUUAUGUGCGUUUAUAACACAAUAGUGCAGUCUAGCAUCGGAGAGACCCCAUAUAGACUGACAUUGAUUUGUUACCUAUUUUAAGAAAAAGAAGAUGAACAGAUGAAAGAAAAGAUGAACAUACGAUUCAAAUGGAAAGAAAAGUAGAGAAGAUGGAGUAAACAAACUGGAGAGGAGAAGAAAGGACAGUGAUGAAUCAUGCUUGACAGGGAGAAAGGAAAACAAACUAUCGUGGCGGUCAAGGAAUCGGGUUUGAAGUGAAGAUGACUUGGCUUUUAUAGAGAAAGGGAUUAAAGAGCGAGAAGGGGGCGAACCAUCAUGUCUUAACCCAUGGGGUUUCACCAAACGAGGUGAUUCCUUAGGUCACACAUGAUAGAGUAAACGCCAUCAAUGCUAAUGAUGGCAAAGUCUCGGGGCUCGCGUCGCAUGUGUCAACAAUUAAGAUGACCUUUGGGUUGAAAGGAUCUGUCGAUUGCUUCACAUAUGAAACCUGGAUGAAGGGCAUGAGCCGACUAGCAGGGAUAACUUGAUCAUUUAAAUUUAAUUAAUUGAUGUUUACAUAAAAUUUGUGUAGGAAAAUGAGAGUGUAAAUAAGAAUCCUAAAGAAUUAAUUGAUGUUGUAGGCGCCACGACAACGGGGUAAAAGUUGAUUCUAAAGAAGAAUCCUAUCUGUAUGUAUGGACACUCUAGGGUAUUGGUCGUGACCGCUAGGCAAAGGGUUAUCCUCAAAGCAUGUCUUCACGUAACUUGAAUUUAGCCCAAGAACAUAAAGACAUCUUUGCUCUCAUACUUCGAGCACAAUGUCUAUGGGCUGGUGGACUGGGUGAGUCGUAUGCUUAUAAGACCCACCCAGAUACAAGCACUAAAGCUACCACGAGACUGUUAUGCAUGAGGCGAGCAUAGAGUAUGGAUGACAAUUUUGCCCAAACCCAUGGGUACCCGCCCGAACCCGAUCCGAUUUGACGGGCAAAAUCCGAGUUGACUGGAUUUGGGUUUGGGUUUGGGUUUUGCCCGUUACUGUAGCCAUUUAUGGGUUUGGGUUUGAUAUUAGUUAAAUCCGUGCCCAUACCCGCCCAAACCCAAACCCAAAGAUACCUGAAACAUAAAAUUACAAAAAAACCCUCAUGCAUAUAUAUAUUUAUAAACUUUGUUCUUAGUGUUUGAUGAUUAAUUGUACUUUUGUAUGUUUGAGAAAGUAAACUCUAAACUAUUGUUGUCUCACUUUAGCGAUGGAUGAGGAUGAUGAAUAGUAUUUGUUUUUUUUUUUUCUAUGAAUUUCACUUUUUUUUAUAUGAAAGUAAGUUUUGGAUUGAGUUGCUACGUAACUAAUGGGUUUGGGUUUCGGGUAAAUCCGAAACCCAAUGAAUUUGGCCAUGAAUUUCAUUUUAUCGUCCAUAAGGUUUGUGUUUGGGUUUGGGUUUGGGUUCUGGGAUUUGGGUUUGGGUUUGGUAAUUGUAAAACCCGUGCCCGAUCCUACCCGUUGCCAUCCCUAGCAUAGAGAGAUUUUUAAGAGUAAAAUGAAUCUAAACUACCAAAAAAACGUUCAUGUUAAUUGCGUUGGUACAGGUUCAAGGUUCAUUUUUUUUUUCAAUAUUGAGUUCUUGACCUACUCGAUUAGUUGUUGUUUGAUUCAAGUUAGGAUGUUAAACUAAUUUAAAAUAUAACAUUCUAAGAAAAAAUGAAAUUUAAAAGAAAAAUACUAAUAAGAUGUUGGUAUAUUGGUAAGCAAGGUAGUGUUUGUUUAAGGGAUUGAAAAAAAAUUCAAAAUAAAGUAUAUAAGUUUCAUCCAACUAAUAAAGAUCNNNNNNNNNNNNNNNNNNNNNNNNNNNNNNNNNNNNNNNNNNNNNNNNNNNNNNNNNNNNNNNNNNNNNNNNNNNNNNNNNNNNNNNNNNNNNNNNNNNNNNNNNNNNNNNNNNNNNNNNNNNNNNNNNNNNNNNNNNNNNNNNNNNNNNNNNNNNNNNNNNNNNNNNNNNNNNNNNNNNNNNNNNNNNNNNNNNNNNNNNNNNNNNNNNNNNNNNNNNNNNNNNNNNNNNNNNNNNNNNNNNNNNNNNNNNNNNNNNNNNNNNNNNNNNNNNNNNNNNNNNNNNNNNNNNNNNNNNNNNNNNNNNNNNNNNNNNNNNNNNNNNNNNNNNNNNNNNNNNNNNNNNNNNNNNNNNNNNNNNNNNNNNNNNNNNNNNNNNNNNNNNNNNNNNNNNNNNNNNNNNNNNNNNNNNNNNNNNNNNNNNNNNNNNNNNNNNNNNNNNNNNNNNNNNNNNNNNNNNNNNNNNNNNNNNNNNNNNNNNNNNNNNNNNNNNNNNNNNNNNNNNNNNNNNNNNNNNNNNNNNNNNNNNNNNNNNNNNNNNNNNNNNNNNNNNNNNNNNNNNNNNNNNNNNNNNNNNNNNNNNNNNNNNNNNNNNNNNNNNNNNNNNNNNNNNNNNNNNNNNNNNNNNNNNNNNNNNNNNNNNNNNNNNNNNNNNNNNNNNNNNNNNNNNNNNNNNNNNNNNNNNNNNNNNNNNNNNNNNNNNNNNNNNNNNNNNNNNNNNNNNNNNNNNNNNNNNNNNNNNNNNNNNNNNNNNNNNNNNNNNNNNNNNNNNNNNNNNNNNNNNNNNNNNNNNNNNNNNNNNNNNNNNNNNNNNNNNNNNNNNNNNNNNNNNNNNNNNNNNNNNNNNNNNNNNNNNNNNNNNNNNNNNNNNNNNNNNNNNNNNNNNNNNNNNNNNNNNNNNNNNNNNNNNNNNNNNNNNNNNNNNNNNNNNNNNNNNNNNNNNNNNNNNNNNNNNNNNNNNNNNNNNNNNNNNNNNNNNNNNNNNNNNNNNNNNNNNNNNNCUUGUACGCGACGUUACACAAGUGAUCGACGAAGUUCUUGAACCGGAGGGGAUUCUCUAUCUUGGGAAUAGGACAAUAGAGUUCAAGGAGAGAGACAUCUCCUUUCCCCUGCGGGAAGCAUCAGCCACCAAACUAUAAAGGUCUUGGCCCACAAUGCUCCAAUAUUGUUUGUAGAAAAAGGCCUGAAACCCAUCCGCGCUGGAGCUUUGAAGGAAUUCAUACACAUGAUGGCUUGGCGAACCUCCUCCAAGGACACCGGACGGAUGAGAUCCUCUCUGUCAUUCACAGAGAUGGAGGGCGAUCUAAUAUCCAUGAUGUGAUUCCUGCAAACCUGUGUAUCAACAGAAAAAAGGUUAGUGAAAAAAGCUUGGGCUCCCUCUUCAAAGUCUCUGGAUCAGUACACCACACGUCCCCAACAAACAUGCCAUGGAUCUUGUUCCUCUUCCGUCGUAUCACUGUUUGAGUAUGGAAAAAUUUUGUAUUGCGAUCCCCAAACUUCACCCACCGUUCCCUAGACUUCUGGAACCAAGUCAACUCCUCCUGAGUUAGGAUCUGCUCAAAUUCCUCUUUCAACGCUUUUUCUAGUCGCAACAUAGACUCUGUCUCCCUCAUCUCCAAUUCUCGUUGCACCCCUUGAAGUCUCCUCUCAACAAGUUUCUUUCUUCGCGUGAUAUUACCAAAGACAUUUCUGUUGAAGGAUAUCGAAGCUGAUCGAAUGUUGUUUAGCUUUCCCACCAAAGAGGGCGGUGGCUCCUUCCAGGUAUCACGAACCACAGAUUCAUAGGAGGGAUGAGUUGCCCAAGCUGCAUGAAAGCGGAACGGACGUGUUGUAGGAUCCUCCACUGACAAAGUGCACCGCACUAGGACGGGACAAUGGUCUGAGUAGACCCGAGCAAGAUUCUCAACGUAAGCUUCUGGGAAUCGGUGCCGCCAAGAGAUAUCCCCCAUAGCCCUAUCCAGGCGCUUUGCGAUUGUUCGUUGGCCAUUCCUCUUCCUUUCCCAAGUGUAUGUGUUGCCCGUUGCACCCAAGUCGAUGAAUUCACACUCCUCUAUCAUCGAUAACAUGCGGAGAGCUCGAACCUGGCAGAAAUCUCCACCUGAUACCUCAGAGGGAUAACAAAUCUCAUUGAAAUCACCGGUAGCAAGCCAUGGUCCCAAGAACUGGCUACGCAGGUUUACCAAGUGUGCCCAGAGGUCCUCUCUCAAGACAGGGUUAGGGCUAGCGUAUAUGGCUGACAGAAUCCACGAGUUAGUGUUCAAGUUGAUGGACACGGAUACCACCUGCGAGUGUACAUCGAUCACCUGAACGGUGAAGUUUCUAUCCACCGGAGCAAGCACCCAAAUACCACCACUGUGCCCUACCGCUUCGGAGACACCACAAAGUUCGUACCCUGCAUGGCGCCAAAAUGUCGCAACUGACUCAAACUGACAAUGAGUCUCAAAAAUAGCAAAGAGAGACGGGUGGAAAGAACGAAUUAAAUCCCGAACCCUCCUUUGACCACGAGCUCCUGCUCCUCCCCGAAUGUUCCAAGCUAAAAUGUUAAAAGGUGUGCUAUCCAUAAAAACUUAUAGAGCAGGGAGAGCCGAGCAGGAUAUAUCAAUUCCUGCUGAGCUGUGGUGUCCCAGAGGUCUUUUCUCCAGGGUCGAAAGGGGCAGCACCUAUGGCAUGGGGCGUCAUUUCGUUUCCAAAACUCUGCACUUCAUUUUCAUUGUUGAGGAGAGAGUAACGGUUCCCAUCCUUAUGUUGGAGGUUUAAGGUAGUUUGGACUCCAUCCUCCAGCACGUAGACUUUUUUGUUACCAAUCAUUCUCACCGCCGGCAAGGCUUUCUCUUGUCUAACGGUAGAAAGUUCCAUAGUGAGUGGAGAAGACAUGCUUGCCCCUCCAUGCAGCACUGAAUUCGUGUGAGGCAUGACCAUUUCUUUUCUUAUCCUUUUUUUUCCUUUGCUGUUCUCUCCUGAAUUGUUGGCACCAUUAUUGUUAUUAUUCAUUCCAGCAUUAAAACGCAUGGGCCCCCCAAAUAUUGCUCUUGAUUCUUUGAUAACCACAUGCUGAUUUGUUCCAUUCUUCCUUCCUUAAUUUAGCACCCUCACGAGCAGCAAUUUUGGUUUUCAAAAUCUUAGGGGAUCUUGUAACCGUCAUCCACUCACCGUGAGCAUUACCAGCGCAUUCAAUUUCCCCUGAAUUCAUGCCACGAUCAAAGUUCACCAUCCUUGCUUGGUCGGUGGCUGUGGUUGUUCCUUGUACCGUAUCCUUUUGAACGCAUGCCGACGUCGACACCGUCGGCGUAUUUACCUUUGUCACCUCUGCGACUGGCUUUGGUUGUGGUUUCUUAGGCUGUGGGAUCGGCGUGCCAGUGCAGUUUCUGGCGAGAUGGCCGUAGCAGCCACAGUGUGAACAUAGAAGGUGUAAGCCUUCGUACUCUACGUUAUACCAAGUGCCACAUAAUCCAACUUUACCCAGUACAGGUUUGUUCAACUCAAUCUCCACACAGACACGUGCGUAACGUCCCCUUUGCAUGUCGACAGUGUACAUAUCCACUUUGAUCGGAGUCCCAACCGCCGACGCCAGCGUCAAGAGGAUGCUUUCAUCGUAAAACUGAAAACCAAGACCGGGAAGACGAAUCCACACUGCCGUAGUGCUAAUCUCCGAAUUCGCCGCCACAAAAUCUGGUGUCCAUGGCUUAACGGCCAAAUAAUGAUCAUAAAUCAUCCAUGGAGCUCCUGUCAUGGCCCUCUCCCUAUCCUCCAAUAGAUCAAACUGAACCAGAAAAUACCCAUGGAGGAUGUCGCGCACUUCAAUCCCUCCUGCCGGCUUCCACAUCGACCGUAGGCGAUCGCAUAAGGCUCUGUAACCGAUUUGCAUACCUAGCAGUUUGACCACCAAGCAGUCCUUCCAAGGCAAGCAGAUAUCAUCGUAAGUCUUUGGGUCCUGAAAGUUAAACAUGGGGAAGUAUGAACUCCCAUCAAUGAGAUCCUUCUUCAUGACACCAGCCUCCACAAGGUUCCGAAUAGUUUUCCUUUUCUCUAUAGUUGCCUUGCCAAGCACCUUCUCCUUAAACGUAGGUUUUCUGACAGGUUCCUCCGGCGGCUCCCCUGUAGGUUUGCCGCCGUGAUCGCCACCAGUAUCGCUCUCAACUUCCAUUAGUAAACCCUAGCAAUUUUUCAAUUGGUUCUCUCAAAAAGAUCUAGGAAUUUAUGAUUAUUAAGAAAACAUUCAUAAUAUAAGUUUUUACGAUCAAAAUUUUAAAAUAAAAUUACAAGUGUGGUGAUGUCGAUGCAUCAAAAACUAUUUUACCCAUUUUUUAAUUUUAAGAAACUAAUUAAAACAAGCUCCUUACAUGAAAUGAAUCUUACGAGUUAAGCAAUCCGCAAUCGAGACAUGUUAACGUGUCCAAAGUUUUCACAUAACAAGAAAGUCCAAUGGAACCUGAAUCUCUCAUGAUAAGGACUUGCUACACCAUUUUUUUGCUUUUAGCAACAAGGGCAUAUGCAACAAGUAAAAAGUGUCGCUAAAAGUGCCUUAGGAUUAGUUUGUGCAUGUUGUCAUAAAUGGUUCGUUUUAGGCAACACAUUUUAUCACAACACUAAAUAAGUGUUCUCUAUGUAAUAACAGGGAACAAUUAUUACGUGAUAAUUAUUGUCUUUUCUCCACAAUAGGUUACAUCUUCUUACAGUGUUACUGGAGAGCACGAGAAAUAGUCCCCAAAAGGAAUAGGUAACGCCAGAACAUGAGACAGUUUAAAAUUGUUGCGUGAAGUUGUGAAAAACAAGAAUCGUUACCUUUUGUGUCUAUGGCUAUACUUUUCAGCUGUUCUAAAAAAUAAAGAAUGUUGUAGAUCCACGAUCUCCAAGCAAUCUUUUUUAAAAAUUAUACUUAAUUGAAUGAUUUUACUUGUUAAGUAUUUAGAUUUUAUUUUGUAUUUUAAUUAAUUUGUUUUUAAUUUAUAAUAGUGGUUGUAUUUUUGUUUUUUAUUGAAUAAUGUAAAUAGUGAAAGUUGUAUUUUGAUUAACUAAAUUGCAGGCAGUGAGUUUGGGUACGGGCACAUAGGUACUCAGAGGAUAUAUAUGGAGAUGGGUAUUCGAGUUGCUACCCAAGAAGGUAUGGAGACGGGUACGGGUAAUUUUUUAAAACGCGGGUAUGGGGACUAGUACUACAGUACCCUACCCAUUGUCAUUCCUACAUUUAAUAUAAGUGUCGGUUAUGGUCAAUGCAAAGUUUUUAUUCUACGUUGUAAAUCGACCAAGCUGAUGUUAUUUAGAGUCGGGCUAUAACGCUAAUUUUUAUGAAUUUGCAUUGGUUUAGAGUUGACUAAACCGACGCUAAAGCGUAGCGCCUACCUAGAUAGCUUCAAACCAUUUAAAGUGAGCGGACGCUUGUUAAAUCGACGUCAGUGUUAGCUUUUGCCUACUUAUUGUGUUGAUUUUGCCAUGUCGACGAUGACAUGGUAAAAGUUACUCAUUCCCCUAGUCGUGGAAAGUACUUUAGAAUGCACCAGAUGAAAAUCAAAUUCAUUGUUCACUUUUUUUCACUAAGGUGAUACUCCCUUUGAAUAGAAAUGUACACAAUGUACCAUACCUGGGUACUAGUUGCUAAUUUCACCCGAUGAUGGAGAUCCCCGUGAGUAGGACUGCACAUGAGUUGAGUUGGACAGAUUUUUAGGCUAAUUAAGAUCCGAAUCAAUCAAAAUUGUUUGGGUUGGGUUGGGUUGGAUUUCACGAAUUUUCACAUUCGGACUCGAACCAACCCAAUCCGAUGAUCUUCGGGUUGGUUCGGAUGGGUUGAUUGGAUCGCUAUAUUAAAGUAAUAAUAAAUAUGGAAUAUUUUAAAAAAACUAUCAAAACUUGGAAACAAAAUUAGAAAAAGUUGGUAAAUUUAUAGUACCAAAUAGUAUAAAAAAAAAGACAAAACAUUAUACUAAAUAGAAUGGAAUAGUAUCACAUAAAUGACAUAUUGCCAAAUACCAUAAAAAUCGACUACGACAAUGGAAUCAAGUUAAUCAAUACGACAAUGACAUGACACUUAGAAUUUAGAUGCCUCUAUUCUCCGACAUGCCGAAUAAAAUUGAAACAAUUAGUGAAGAAUGUGAAAAGUGAAACUGUGAAAUAAAAUUAGGGUUUAAAAUUUACACGUAGAUUAGGUAAAAUUAUUAUAAAUAUAUAUUAAAUAAUAUAUUAUUAUUGUAUGUUUGGAUUUCGGGUUGGUUGGGUGGAUUGUUAUUAGGCUUAAAUACUCUUUCGGCCCCUGAAAUUGUAAAGGGAAUCAGACUUGGUCCUUGUAAAAUUUUCACAUCUAAUUGGGUCCCUAAAUUUGUUUUUUUAAUCUAAUUGGGUCCAAACUGUGUUUCAGUCUGAUGUGGCACGAAUUUUGCCUGAUGAGCUUUUCCACGUGGCUUUCUAUUUUAUUUUUAAUGCAGAUGUGUAAAUGAUUUGAACAAAUUAAAAUUAAACCCAAAUUAAAAACUUAAUUUCUCAUCUCUUUUUUUUUUAAUGAUAAUUUCUCAUCUCUAUUCAUCCUAAUUCCUACAUAGCCUCCUUCUCAUCUUCCCUUUCUGGUGCAGUACCCAUACCACCAUGUUACUUCUUCCUCUACCCAACGUGACAACCACCACUCACGCACACUAUGCCUUCUUCUUCCACCACCGCACCAAAGCCACAGACAAAUCCCCCAACCGGAUCGACACAAAACACCUCAAUCACCACCGCACCAAAGCUUCACCAUUGUUAGAUCUCGCACAAACCUCCUGGGGCCUCUAUGAAGAAGAAAUCUCCAUAUUCCUUUCUCGGUGCUUCCUCUUCCAGAUCCCACCCCCAUCGCAAACCCAAUCCCACCAGAUUGAAUGAUUUCUGGAUCUGGGACUUCAGGGAAAGGAUUCGUCGCCGAAUCUCUAUCGAUCUCUUCCUCUACUCACCGAUCUGGGUUGAGAUUUUUGAAUUAGGGGUUUUUUGGGGUUUGUUGGACACUGCCAUCGAAAGUUGAAGAUGAUGGUGGUAUUCCCACCUAACUAUUGCUAGUUGGACGUGAUAAGGGAUUUGCCAAGGGCUGGGCACUUCAUAUGAAAUAAGGAUUGAUUUGGGUGAUAUAUAUUGAAGCUAGUGCUAGUCUAUGUUCAUCUUACUCUUGUCGGUUUAAACUCUAAUUCCAAUCCUUUUGGUUUUUCUUUUGCAAUUGGAUUAGUUAAUUGUGUUUACUCUGAGAUGCGAUUUGAGCGUUUUUUUUUUCUGGGUUUUCUGGGUUUUGGGACUGGAAGAUGAAGCUCAUGAAGAUGCAAAGAAGAAGAUGAAGAACAGAUGAAAAAAAUGUGCAUUUGGGCCAAUAAAAAAUGAUUAUUUAUUAAUUAUAUGACAUGGAAAAAUAAAAAGCCAUGUGGAAAAGCUGACUGUGCAAAAUUCGUGCCACAUCAUGCCGAAACACACUUGGGACCCAAUUAGAUUAAAAAAAAUAUUUUAGGGACCCAAUUUGAAGCAAAAUUUUUACAAGGAUCAGGUCUGAUUCCCUUUACAAUUUCAGGGACCAAAAGGGUAUUUAAGCCUUGUUAUUAAAUCCGAUAUCCGAUCCGAAGUUAAUUGAAUUGUAAUAAAAUCCGUCUAAUUGGCCCGUUUGCCCAAUUCAACCCGCAUUUUUUCCAUUGGAUCGGACGGGUUCAUUAGAUCUACCCGACCCAUGUGCAUUCUUACCGGUGAGGAUUGCCUCUGUUGGGCCCUAAUCUUAAGGAUUUCCCCCUUUGGGCCACUUGUAGGCAAAAAAAAAACUAGAUCACAAACCCUAGUAUGAGAAUCAGAUCAGGAUCCUAGAUCCUUUCCUACUUCCUAGCCCCAAGGAUUGCCAAUCCCCAUGCGAUCCUUACAAUGAUCUAGAUAAAAAAUCCUAAGAAAGAUCCCAGGAUCCCACAAUCUGAAUCGUGAUCCUAACAAUGCUAACUUGCUCAAUGAUAUGCUCAGGCAUCACUUGAUAUAACAAUCAAAGAGGAGAAAGGGGGGGUUAGUUCAAACAAUGCAUAAAAGUAAGUAAUGUCUAAUGUAAUGUUUGUAAGACCCAGGAUUUUAGAAUUAAAUAAAUAAUUAAUUUCCAACUCACGCAUAGGAUUUUGUGCCAGCGUGAGGGGAAAUCACAUUCCAACAAAAUAUAUUACGUGUGUGCAACUCUAAUAAUCUAAAUACAAGCCCUUGUCAUCACAAUUUGAGCGUGCUGACUAAAUUCCAUGUACGCACAUCAGAUCAUUUUAAAUUUGUGCAAUGAUGUGAGUCAAUAUUCCUUC
rnacentral:lncRNA from 1 species